rnacentral:rRNA from 1 species
UGGGGAAUAUUGCACAAUGGGCGCAAGCCUGAUGCAGCCAUGCCGCGUGUAUGAAGAAGGCCUUCGGGUUGUAAAGUACUUUCAGCGGGGAGGAAGGGAGUAAAGUUAAUACCUUUGCUCAUUGACGUUACCCGCAGAAGAAGCACCGGCUAACUCCGUGCCAGCAGCCGCGGUAAUACGGAGGGUGCAAGCGUUAAUCGGAAUUACUGGGCGUAAAGCGCACGCAGGCGGUUUGUUAAGUCAGAUGUGAAAUCCUCGGGCUCAACCUGGGAACUGCAGCUGAUACUGGCAAGCUUGAGUCUCGUAGAGGGGGGUAGAAUUCCAGGUGUAGCGAUGAAAUGCGUAGAGAUCUGGAGGAAUACCGGUGGCGAAGGCGGCCCCCUGGACGAAGACUGACGCUCAGGUGCGAAAGCGUGGGGAGCAAACAGG